rnacentral:rRNA from 1 species
CGCCUUGCCAGCCCGCUCAGAAACUCAAAGGAAUUGACGGGGGCCCGGCACAAGCGGUGGAGUAUGUGGUUUAAUUCGAUGCAACGCGAGAACCUUACCUGGUCUUGACAUCCCGGAGACCCUUAGGAAACUAGGGGGUGCUUCCAUCUGGAAGAAUCUGGAGACAGGUGCUGCAUGGCUGUCGUCAGCUCGUGUCGUGAGAUGUUGGGUUAAGUCCCGCAACGAGCGCAACCCUUGCCUUUAGUUGCCAGCAGUUCGGCUGGGCACUCUAAAGGGACUGCCGGUGUUAAACCGGAGGAAGGUGGGGAUGACGUCAAGUCCUCAUGGCCUUUAUGACCAGGGCUACACACGUACUACAAUGGCCGAUACAAAGGGCAGCGACACUGCGAGGUGAAGCCAAUCCCGUAAAAUCGGUCUCAGUCCGGAUUGGAGUCUGCAACUCGACUCCAUGAAGUUGGAAUCGCUAGUAAUCGUGGAUCAGCAUGCCACGGUGAAUACGUUCCCGGGCCUU